CGGGAUGUUGGCUUAGAAGCAGCCACCAUUUAAAAAGUGCGUAACAGCUUACUGGUCGAGCAAUUUCGCGCCCAUAAUGAUCGGGAGUAAGUAUCAUACCGAAGCAGUGGAAUCGUAAGAUUGGUAGGUGAGCGCUGUACAUCAGAUACGAGCUAUACGGAAACGAAUAGUGGUGGGAUGUACAGGUGAUUAUGCCGGAAUGAGUAACGAUAAAACAGGUGAGAAUCCUGUUCGCCGAAAGCCUAAGGUUUCCUGGGGAAGGGAAAUCCGCCCAGGGUUAGCCGGUACCUUAGUCGAGGCCGAAAGGCGUAGACGAUGGAUAGCAGGUCAAUAUUCCUGCGCCGGAUGUGUGAAUCGAUGGAGGGACGGCGCUUCGAUAGUGAGCGGUACGACUAGAAAUGUCCGUGGAGUAUUUUUAGGCGAGGGAUAGGCAAAUCCGCCCUCAUCAGCCAAGGAAUAAGCCCGAGAGCACUUAAGUUCUCGAAGUCACUUGAAGAGCGUCCAAGAAAAUCUUCUAAGAGUUAAAGCACAUUCGACCGUACUAAAACUGACACAGGUAGGC
rnacentral:rRNA from 1 species